rnacentral:rRNA from 1 species
UGGCGGACGGGUGAGUAAUGUCUGGGAAACUGCCUGAUGGAGGGGGAUAACUACUGGAAACGGUAGCUAAUACCGCAUAACGUCGCAAGACCAAAGAGGGGGACCUUCGGGCCUCUUGCCAUCGGAUGUGCCCAGAUGGGAUUAGCUUGUUGGUGGGGUAACGGCUCACCAAGGCGACGAUCCCUAGCUGGUCUGAGAGGAUGACCAGCCACACUGGAACUGAGACACGGUCCAGACUCCUACGGGAGGCAGCAGUGGGGAAUAUUGCACAAUGGGCGCAAGCCUGAUGCAGCCAUGCCGCGUGUAUGAAGAAGGCCUUCGGGUUGUAAAGUACUUUCAGCGGGGAGGAAGGGAGUAAAGUUAAUACCUUUGCUCAUUGACGUUACCCGCAGAAGAAGCACCGGCUAACUCCGUGCCAGCAGCCGCGGUAAUACGGAGGGUGCAAGCGUUAAUCGGAAUUACUGGGCGUAAAGCGCACGCAG